AUAAAUUCCAGAAACAGAAGAAAAGAUAAGAACGAAGAUGACGCAGAAUGGAUCUCUUUGACUUGUAUUUGGACACUAAUUAGAAAAAUGUAGGCGUACCGGCAGAUGGGCCAGGGAAUCCUUGAGUGGAGACCACGUACCGGAAGUCGAAGCGUGGGCAGACCUCCCGCUAGGUGGACAUCGACGACGACAUCUCUAGCGUUGCGGGGAGCCAGUGGAUACAGGUGCUUUUCAGGUGGAAGUGGGCGGGAGAGUGAGAAUGAUGGAAGAAAGAUAGCAUAUAAAUGGAGCCUUUCCUUUCUCCACACAGACCUUAGCAGGCAAGUGUAGUGAAGUCAGCAAAUUGUACUAAUAUAAUUUGAAUUAUAUAUGUGUGGCUGGUUUUGCUAGGCUUUGAAUUUCCUCCGUCAACUACAUAUUUCUAUGAUAUAGAAGUACUUGUCAUUUCAGUUCUACGUUCUCUGCCAAUGCGAGUGUUACUUGCUGGCGAUUUUAUAGGUGCACAGAAUUAUGCAGUCUUACGACUGUGGGCAGCCUGAUGAGGGAAGUAUCGACGCGCAUGGUAAGGACCUACUUGUCAUUUUAGUUCUACGGUCUCUGCCAAUGCGAGUGUUACUUGCUGGCGAUUUUAUAGGUGCACAGAAUUAUGCAGUCUUACGACUGUGGGCAGCCUGAUGAGGGAAGUUUCGACGCACAUGGUAAGAACCUAUUUGUCAUUUCAGUUCUACGUUCUCUACCAAUGCGAGUGCUGGUUGCUGGCGAUGUUCUCUGCCAAUGCAAGUGCUGAUUGCUGGCGAUGUCCUCUGCCAAUGCAAGUGCUGGUUGCUGGCGAUGUCCUCUGCCAAUGCAAGUGCUGGUUGCUGGCGAUGUCCUCUGCCAAUGCAAUUGCUGAUCGCUGGCGAUGUCCUCUGCCAAUGCAAUUGAUGGUUGCUGGCGAUGUCCUCUACCAAUGCGAGUACUGAUUGCUGGCGAUGUUCUCUGCCAAUGCGAGUGGUACUUGCUGGCCAUUUUAUAGGUAGGUAUACAGACUUAUGCAGUCUCACGACUGUGGGCAGCCUGCUGAGGUAAUAAUCGACGUAGAAGUAAAUAUUUUAGUUUUCAGUUAUUUCCAUUUAUUAUAUUAAUAUAAGUUUAAAUUUAGU